AGACAAUGUAGCCAGCCAGAGAAGUAAGAUGUCCGGACCCUUUUCUCUGAUUCCUGUGGACUCUUCUUCCUUCAACAGCAUCAAAGAGAGUCCAAAAGGGAAAAGCAAACAGUCCAAAUUACAGGACAGACGAGGAGACCCAUUUCUAUGUAAACGUUACCAGCCUGCAGAGAAACAAACACUGCGGAAACACCGGAGGCUUUGGUUUGGAUCUAAGAUGUGCAGCAUGGCCAUGCUUAUAAAUAGUCUCUCAACCACCAA